rnacentral:lncRNA from 1 species
AAAAAAAAAAAAAAAAAAAGGAGGGGCCACCAUGACCUAUUCACCCUCCACUUCCCGUCUCAGAAUCUAAACGUGGUCAUCGAGUAGAGAGGCUCCACGCGCAGGUGACACGCGCUGUCCACCACUCGACCCAAACCAUGAGAAUUUGCAACAGGGGAGGAAAAAAGAAUCAAAACUUCCAAGGCCCUGCUUUUUUUCUUAAAAGUACUUUAAAAAGGAAAUUUGUUUGUAUUUUUUAUUUACAUUUUAUAUUUUUGUACAUAUAGUUAGGGUCAGCCAUUUUUAAUGAUCUCGGAUGACCAAACCAGCCUUCAGAGUGUUCUCUGUCCUACUUCUGACUUUACUUGUGGUGAGACCAUGUUCACUAUAAUCUCAAAGGAGAAAUAAACCUUGUUAAAAAAGCAAAAACGACAACAGAAAAACAAUCUUAUUCUGAGCAUUCCAGUAACUUUUUUGUGUAUGUACUUAGCUGUACUACAAGUAGUUGGUUUGUAUGAGAUGGUUAAAAAGGCCAAAGAUAAAAGGUUUCUUUUUUUUCCUUUUUUGUCUAUGAAGUUGCUGUUAUUUAUUUAUUUAUUUAUUUUGGCCUGUUUGAUGCAUGUGUGAAACAAUGUUGUCCAACAAUAAACAGGAAUUUUGUUUUGCUGAGUUGUUCUAAAAACAAACAAACAAAAAAAAACAAAACAUCUUUCUCAUGAAGCACAAAAGGGACAAUACGGAGGAGACCCACCCCCCAACCCAAAAGAA